rnacentral:rRNA from 1 species
CUAAUACAUGCAAGUCGAGCGAACUGAUUAGAAGCUUGCUUCUAUGACGUUAGCGGCGGACGGGUGAGUAACACGUGGGCAACCUGCCUGUAAGACUGGGAUAACUUCGGGAAACCGAAGCUAAUACCGGAUAGGAUCUUCUCCUUCAUGGGAGAUGAUUGAAAGAUGGUUUCGGCUAUCACUUACAGAUGGGCCCGCGGUGCAUUAGCUAGUUGGUGAGGUAACGGCUCACCAAGGCCACGAUGCAUAGCCGACCUGAGAGGGUGAUCGGCCACACUGGGACUGAGACACGGCCCAGACUCCUACGGGAGGCAGCAGUAGGGAAUCUUCCGCAAUGGACGAAAGUCUGACGGAGCAACGCCGCGUGAGUGAUGAAGGCUUUCGGGUCGUAAAACUCUGUUGUUAGGGAAGAACAAGUACAAGAGUAACUGCUUGUACCUUGACGGUACCUAACCAGAAAGCCACGGCUAACUACGUGCCAGCAGCGGGGGGU